rnacentral:rRNA from 1 species
AACGAACGCUGGCGGCAUGCCUAACACAUGCAAGUCGAACGAGACCUUCGGGUCUAGUGGCGCACGGGUGCGUACCGCGUGGGAACCUGCCCUUAGGUUCGCAAUAACUCCCCGAAAGGUGUCCUCAUACCGGUUAAUGUCUUCGGACCAAAGAUUUAUCGCCUUUGGAUGGGCCCGCGUUGGAUUAGCUAGUUGGUAGGGUAAAAGCCUACCAAGGCGUCGAUCCAUAGCUGGUCUGAGAGGAUGACCAGCCACACUGGGACUGAGACACGGACCAGACUCCUACGGGAGGCAGCAGUAGGGAAUAUAGGACAAUGGGCGAAAGUCUGAUACAGCAAUGCGGGGUGAGUGAUGAAGGCGUUAGGGUUGUAAAGCUCUUUUACCCGGGAUGAUAAUGACAGUACCGGGAGAAUAAGCUCCGGCUAACUCCGUG